CUGUACGCCGCGUGCGGGAUGAAGCGCCUCGGGUUGUAAACCGCUUUUACCAGGAAGGAAACUGACAGUACCUGGAGAAUAAGGUGCGGCCAACUACGUGCCAGCAGCCGCGGUGACACGUAGGCACCAAGCGUUGUCCGGAUUUAUUGGGCGUAAAGAGCUCGUAGGCGGUUCAGUAAGUCGGGUGUGAAAACUCUGGGCUUAACCCAGAGACGCCACCCGAUACUGCUGUGACUUGAGUCCGGUAGGGGAGUGGGGAAUUCCUGGUGUAGCGGUGAAAUGCGCAGAUAUCAGGAGGAACACCAAUGGCGAAGGCACCACUCUGGGCCGAGACUGACGCUGAGGAGCGAAAGCGUGGGUAGCAAACAGGAUUAGAUACCCUGGUAGUCCACGCCGUAAACGGUGGGCACUAGAUGUGGGUUCCAACCAACGGGAUCCGCGUCGUCGCUAACGCAUUAAGUGCCCCGCCUGGGGAGUACGGACGCAAGGUUAAAACUCAAAGGAAUUGACGGGGGCCCGCACAAGCAGCGGAGCGUGUUGCUUAAUUCGAUGCUACGCGAAGAACCUU
rnacentral:rRNA from 1 species